ensembl:lncRNA
UUCAAAGGUCAAGGAAUUGGACUUCACCUCUUGAUAGGAGCAGUCUCGAGGAGCUUACAGACUUGUUUUAAAGUCAUCACAUGCAGCAUUUCUGCAAACUUUGUGGCUCACACCGGAGAAUGGCUGCUCCCCAGUUCAGUCCCCACAGUGGGCUCAUUGUCUGAAAAGUCCUGGUUGCACACAGAUCUGCAGCGCGCUGACUUGUUCUCAGAGGUCUCCAAGUUGCUUCACUGCCUUUUACGACAAACAGCUCUAUGAUGCCAUCUAUCUCCAGGAUUUUGUCACUGUCUUCAAAACUUCCUGAUUGUUCUGAAAGUGCUUUGUGAGACCUGCCAUAAGUCCCCUACAAGCAGCUCUGAAAGGAAACAAUUGUCACAGGAGGAGAUCGAACUCGGGACCUUCCACUUGCGAGGCAGAUGGCAGCACCACUGAGCUAAAUCCCCGGCCCCCUAUAAACCAUAACAUCAGAUACUACCUGCUCAUGAAAUUAAUAAAUAUUAGGACACAGACACAGCACAAGAAGAUCAUACGAGGACAUACGGAGAAGAUGACCACCUACAUGCCAAGGACAGUCCUUAGAAGACACUAAUCUUGGUGACAACUUAUGCAGA